UACGUAGGUGGCAAGCGUUGUCCGGAUUUACUGGGCGUAAAGGGAGCGUAGGCUGAUACUUAAGUGGGAUGUGAAAUACCUGGGCUUAACUUGGGUGCUGCAUUCCAAACUGUGUGUCUAGAGUGUUGGAGAGGAAAGUGGAAUUCCUAGUGUAGCGGUGAAAUGCGUAGAGAUUAGGAAGAACACCAGUGGCGAAGGCGACUUUCUGGACAAUAACUGACGCUGAGGCUCGAAAGCGUGGGGAGCAAACAGGAUUAGAUACCCUGGUAGUCCACGCCGUAAACGAUGGGUACUAGGUGUAGGGGGUAUCGACUCCCCCUGUGCCGCAGUUAACACAAUAAGUACCCCGCCUGGGGAGUACGGUCGCAAGAUUAAA
rnacentral:rRNA from 1 species